rnacentral:lncRNA from 1 species
GGAUCCCUUUGGCUACAGGUAAAAGAUUCCCCUUUUUAAAAAAUUUAAUUGCAUCGUAUGAUGAAAUCUGAAGGGAAGCAGUUCUCCAUUCUUGCAGCAGCUCAAGGUGUCAUCUGUGACUACACUUCUUCUGUCUUUCUAUCCAACCAUCCUUGUCUGUUCUGGUCAGUUGCAAAUGCCCCAUCAAGAGAUGGAGUCUGUUUUCCCACCUCCCGAAUCGAGGCUGGUCUUGUGACUGUCUUUGAUCAAUAGGAUGCAGUGGAAGUGAGGGUGCGAGAGUCCUGAGUCUAGGUCACCAGAGGCCUUGAGCUUUCAUUCUUGUCCUCUCGAAAUGCUGCUGCCAUGUGAACGAGCCUGGGCUAACGGCCACCUUGUGCAGAGAGAGACUCAGCCAUCCCAGGAGGCCGUCGGCGUAAGGAUGACCCAGGCAAUAACAUGCGGGGCAGAGAUGAGCCGUCCUUGCUGAGUCCAGCUCAAAUUUCUGACCCACAGCAUCCUGAGCAAAUAAACGAUUGUGAAAUUUUAAGCCACUACAUUUUGGGAUGUUUUGCUAGUCAGCAAAACCUAACUGAUACAGCUGUGCCGGUUUUUUGUCCUUGGGUUUGUCGUCUGUCUCAUGGUCUCAUGGUUACAAAACAGCUGUGUAGCUUCAUAAAACUGAAGUCAGGGUAGGGAAAAAGGAUGGAUCAAAAAGAGACAGUUUUUUUUCUUUUUUCUGGGACAAAACUUACUCAAUAGCCUUCAUGCUUCGCUGGCAAUUCAUUAGAACUUGGUCUUAAGCUCACUCCUCACCAGUCAUUUGCAAAGGGACACAGCACCAUAGUAAAUAUUGCCACCCGUGAGGUUUCAGGGCCUGCCCUCAGGGAGCUCACAGUCUCCGUGAAACGAACUGACAAUACAAGGCAGCUAGCAAAUGCCAGGUGAGGUGCCCAGAUGGGCAAGUCUGCAGGAGCUCAGAGGAGAGGGGGAUGCAUGAGGGUCUGAGUAAUCCAGGAAGGCUUCCUGGACGAGGCAGUCUAGGGUCUGCACCUGAAAGAUGUAUUGGUCAGUCUCAGAGAACAGAAUUACUCUUGCUAAUUUAUACAGAAAGGACACUAUACCAGAGGACUAAGUGGCUUACAGAAUUGUCAAAAGAAUUGAAGAAACAGCCACUAGGCUCACCUUGCAGAAGUGACUCCCAAAACCACACAGCAGAAUUGGGCUACCAAGUGAGUUCCUGUCCCUUACAACGAGGAAGCUGCCCCCUAGAAGGAGAAACAGCGGCGCUGCUUGCCGGCUCCACCACGUUGCCUUGCUGUGACCCAUACAGCACAGCUAGGGCCUGCGUCCUGCUCCAUCCCCACUAAACUAACCUCUACAUCCGAGUCUUGCACAAGUGCGUCUGAUCGGUCAAAAGAAAUUACAUCCACACCCCCAGCUGCACAGGCGUCUGAGAAACGUGUUUCUAGCUUUCCGUUCGCUGCAGAGAUCGCACGCUGCAAGGAGGUGCAACCAGAGAUGGUUAGAGUUCGCGGAGAAACCACGUGGGCCUGUAGGAUGCUUUGUGGAGGGUUUGUGAUAACAAACUCAACAUCUUCGAUAGCUACAGUGCUGCUCAUAAUUUCUGUUUCGUCCUGUGUCAGUUCUGCUGUUUUGUUCUUUCCAUCUGAGCUGCUGAAUUUGUUUGCUAGGCUACAUGGUAAUCAAGCCAGUCCACUGGGUUCACUACGCAUGCGUGAACUUUGUCCUCAGAGCUGGGAGAUGCUGGAUGCUUUUCACAGGUUUGGACCAGAGCUAGGUCAGCUGCCUAGAUGAUGAUGCGGGACGGAGGGGUAAGGGGACACAUCAGAGGCCUCUCUGCGGCCAGGCCAGCUCCUUAGGAGAGAACAAAAGCUCUUGUGUCUGUCCAUCCACAGCUGCAGAAAUUAAAAUGUCUGAUGUGUUGGGGGCCUUAGUGUUUCUUGAGUACAGAGGGUGCCUUUGGGGAUGCCUGGCAUAACUCUCCCUGGGAACUAGUCAAUCACCCAAACCAUAGGGUAGGACCCAGGCUGUCAUGUUCAAGCAACGUGACCAGCCCGCCCCCUGCUGUGGAUUGGAUCAAGGUAGACUGCUGACCUGACUGAACCAGUCUGUUUCACAAGAAUAUAGAUUUGGCACCAAGAGUUUAGUGUGGGCUGACCUCUUGAGUGGAGGAGCUAUAAAACACGACGGCUCUUGGUGACCGUGGCAGAGAAGGAUGAGUAUGACAGUGAUGCAGUGAGUGACACGGAGAGAAAGUCUCCCAAAGGCCUUCGAGUCCCAAAUCUGUGCUCUACCUUUGUCCCUGGAGCUCCAGGAGAAACAUCUGGAUCCUGUAAUUCUUUCCCCUUAGCUUACUUUGGAGGAGGUGGGGUCUCUGUUAUUUGCACCCAAGAAUCCUAAUUAUUUACGGGAUUCUCUAAGACUGGGAGUUGGGACUUAAAGUCAUUUGGGUGCCCAAACCACGGUCCUCAUCUUCUUUAAUUCAGCCGAGUAGAACAAAGUGCAAAUGAGGAUCAUGGCAGAGAGAGGAGGACAGCUAUUUGUUGAGGCCCUACUAUGUGCUGGGUGCAUUCACAUCUGUUAUCCUAUUAAUUGUAUCAUCUUCGCCAUUCAGAUCACCCAGAAAGGAUGCAGAACAAGGGCUGUAUUCCAGGAACUUGACCUUACAGAGUCGUGGGUGUUGGUUACGUUUACCCGUCCGUGGUUGUUGCUCCUGUGUCUGGUGUUGGCCCUGAAGUGAGCAGGCCAGGCAGUUGGAAAGGAAAGAUGAUUGUGAAGUAGGUAAAAACGAGGAAAACUAGGAUCUAAAAGGAUGAGCUGGAACCUGUUUCACUCCCUCACCAACCCCGAGCCUCCGACAGGGACGCUGCAGGCGACUGGUGGCAGAAGAAGCUGCACAGGGGCCUGGCCCAGGGUCAGGGGGACCGCGGGAGGAGCCUCGGCCGGAGCAGAGGGGCUGUGGCUCCAACAGCAGGUAAGCUGGCCCAGGCGGCCCGGGCGCGGGAGCUGCGCCCACCUCUCCACGCAGACACCCGGCGGCUUCGCUUCCACCUUCCAGCUCUCACACACGUUCCUCUCGUGGUUGACACCGACCUAGAACCACAAAGCAAGUGGGUUUGCCAGCAUACAAAGCCUCCACGUUACUCCAUGCCACAACCCGACCAUGAUGGCUUUCCUUACUGUUUCAGGGAGAGGAAACUGAGGCUCUGGCUGAAACGACCAAGCUCAGGCGAGGAGAAGGAACUGAGUCAAGAACCUGGUCGUCUGUCCCAAAGCCACUGAGGUGUCCCAUGUGGAGAAUGCUCACAGUCGGGUCUCCACGGGGAGGACCUUGUCAUGCCCGCCUCACCGGGUUCCUGGAAAAUCCAGUGAGGCGAUGAACAUGGGAGCCCUGUGGAGUCAAGUUUCAUAUAUAUUUACAUGCAAAUAUACAAAUUAAUGUGCUUAUUUAUGCAUGCUCAGUGCACGUAAGCAAAAAGAAGAUGAAAACUCUCUGCAGUCUCACCCUGAGUACGGAUGCACACGAAGGAGACGGUGACAACGGGCGGCCUGGGAAGCCGCUGGGAUUGUCUGAGCUUUCCCCAAGGAUCCGUGAAGAGAAUGUCGUAAGCGACGUGGACCCUGCCAGCCACUCAUUUCUGAAGGUGGUCAGAACGAAAUGGCUUCAAUCCAGUGGAUCCUGGUCUAGCCGUCCCCCACCCCCUCCCAAGCCCAAACUCGAGGGUUAACUGAGAUCUUCACCACUGCACAACUAAAGCUGGGCAUGCGAUCAGCCAAUAGCAUCCAGAUUGGUCCUAAACUUAAGGAAGACUGAGCCAAGGCCAGCAGAACUUUUUCCAUCUAUAAACGUGACAUCAGGUAGAAAUGCUGAGAAGUUUGGAGGUAAAAUGAGGAUGUUCCAUCCCUCCACACAAUAAAAAGUCUGGGAAGAUGUAUUCCUGCCCGUCAGUCUAAUCCAGCCGCUGCGACAAUUCCCAGACUUGGACUCCCCGGCUGACCUCCUCCACCAGCUGGAGCAGGAGCAUCUGCUAAGGGUAGUUUUCUCUUCCUUUUGUUUUCAGAAACCCUUCCUUAACUUCCUUAAGUAGAAGGGGAGGCGUCUGCGUACCCUCCUUACGUGUUAAUCCACUAGGUUAGAGAGUAAGCGUGUUUCAUGAGGUCGUAGGGAAUUGGCUUUGAAAGUCAGAGGGCAUUUGAGCUCCCCACCCACCCCGGGGUGUGCCCUUGGGUAAGUCUCUGAGCCUCAGUUUCCUCAUCUUUGAAACAAGGCUAGUAACACCUAGGGCGGUCGUGAUGAUUAUAUGAGAUAUGGCACUUAAAGGACCCAGCAAUACCUGGUGGAGAACAAGUGCUCAAAAAUGUUAGCGGCUCUAUCGACACCAUCAUCAUUGUUAUUACAUUGUUAGCUUCCAAAAGACAGGGUAAUCUUUUGUAGCCUGUUCCUCUCUUUGUUGCCUAGGACAUAGUAGGGACCCAGCAGAUGUUUGUUGAAUGAACGAGCAAAUCCACCCAGGAAGCUCUAGUAACAGUCAAUUUCACAUUGCCCUGACUAAUAGCAGCUAACAUUUAUUGAACACUGUUCCAGAAACUGUAUGACGUCCCAUUGCCUCGUUUAACACACAAGUUCAUUGACCUUGUCUGGCCUUCUGAUUUGACUCCUGCAGCGUUGGUGUCGUUGAUUGCAGAUGGUGACGUCUGCUGCAGAUUUCUGUAUUAUUUCCGUGAGGCUGACAGCAGCAUCAUUUCUGUAGCAUAGCCACUGCUGAGAUAGGAGUCUGGUGUCAUGCUGACGUCAGGCCCUGUGUCCUCAUCUCCCCAGGGAUCAGCUGGCUUCCUUGAUGCAGUUUCCUCAUCUCUUAUUGGUGGAUUGCUUGACGUUACACUCCUGAGACAGCAGGGCUCAAUGCGAGUUUAUGGCUGCAGCCUCGCAGCUUGCCAGGGCCCCAUUUAUCCUGGGAUAACAUCCCGUGGCAUCCCUUCCUCCUCCUGCCUCUCUGUGGCCGCUUUCAGAGCAGUGCAGCAGCUCCAGGGGAGGGCAGACCAGGGAAGGUCUUUCUAGUUCUUCUGCCCCCUCCCUGUGUGUGACUUUGGGUUAGAGAAGACUUCAGGAAUCAUCUAAUCCAAUGCUUUUUAUGCCGUUCUGUGGGGUUUUAGGGUUCAAAGGAGCCCCUCCCCCAAUGAGGAGCUGCUUUUGGGGGAGAAGAACUACCUGAACAGGCAGAGCCUGGGGCAUCCUAUCUCUGCUUCAACCAGCGUGAGCUCUGUGACGUCUUUGGGGCCUCGAGGAACAAGUUUCUUUUUAUCCUUCAGUAGAAACUUUGACAGCAAGACAGCACAAUGUUAGGCAGAGGCUUUGAGCAAGAUCUCUAUGCAUUUAUUUGUUCAUCCAGCACAUUCCCAGACACUAUACUAGGGUGCUGGGGAUAGAGCAGUGAACAAGAAGCUCCUGCCACCACGUAGCUUCUAUUCUAGUUGGAGGAGACAGACAGGAGAAUAUAUACCACGUAGUGCCUCUCCAAGGAGGUGACACGUGAGCAGAGACCUGGAGGAAGUGAAGGUCGUUCAGUGGCAGGAGGACGUUCCCGGCAGAGGGAAUGGCCGUGCAGAGUCUCUGAGGCAGGAGGCCGGAGCAGCUGGAGAGGAGGCGAUGGUGGAGCCAGUGGAAGGAGGAGAGAGGUGUGGGGUCUAGAUUACUAGGAGGUUAGAGACGGUGGAAAGGACUUUAAAUUUUUGUUCUGUGGGAGAUGGGAAGACGCUGGAGGAGUGAGCGCAGAGGAGUGACACGACCUGAUUGACAGGUCAUUUGAUUUGUCAUUUUGAUUGUGUGAAUUAUCGUGUUGUUCCAAUGUUAUACUAGGUGUCGAAGGCAAUGACAAGACAAGGCCCCGAUCAUAUUAGCUAGGAAGGCGGAAGUGAUCCAGAAGGCACUGUAAUAAAUGACACAUAAGAUAGGGAAGGAAAUAAGAGGUACCCCACCGUGUCGGAGAAAAACCAAGGGAACACCCCAUUGGUCAUGAAUGCAACUGUGAGUUGAUAAUGACCAAAAGAGGGGACUGUGGACAGAUCGCUAGGACCCCUCUCCCUGGUCUAACAGGCAAAGCUAGCAAGCAAGCUUUAAGUCAGUGCAAUAAACUCCGUGCUGUGCUGUGAAGCAGCUGUUCUGUGGAGCAGCCGUGCAGGCCACCUUGAGCCUGUGUCAAGUGACCUGGCAACCCCACACCGGCUGGACAGAUCCACAGCAGGAAGAGAUAAAGGGGGACCUCGCUCUCACGUUUCCCAGCUGCAUUUCUUAGAGACGGAGGGACUAAUUAACGAUCCUGGUCCUUCCUCCCUCCACACAUAGCUAACAUCAGCAUCUCGGAACUUGUUUGAUGUAUAACCAAGAAAUUCUUGUUUGUGUUACCCUCAAUGUAUAAUCUAGAGAAAAGUCCGGAUGCGCUCUAUCUCUUUUUUAAAAAUCUAGUUGUAGGUUUUUUUCUCUUCCUCUUCCCUGCACGUGCGCUGUUUGAUGAAAGAGAUGUAAGCUGCGCUUAAACUCGCAGUCCUCAGAGUGGCUCCAUCAGAGCGCUCUGCUCAGCUGUUUGCCUGGGUUCGAACGCCUCACCCUGAUUAUUGAGUAAACUCCUUCACUGGUAUCACCCGACUCUUUGUUUCAGCCAACAGACCUUUGUGGCUACUGGGUAGAGAAUGGAUUUUAGGGACCAGCAUGGAAGCUGGAAGCGGAGGCCACUUAGGAGGCCGUGGAAGGAGUCCAGGUGUGAGGUGACGACAGCAUGGACCGCGGCAGUGGAAUGAAAAGAUGAGAGGCACUCAGGUCUGAAGGUAGAGUUGAAAAGGUCUGCUAAGGAAUUCCACGUUGGGUGGGAGAGAAAGAGGACCAUGAAUGACUCCAAGGCUCGGGGCCUGAGCCCUAGGUGAAAGGCGCCGUUUCCCGAGCUGGCGGAGGUGGGAGGGGCGACAGCAGACAUCUGUCACCGUUUGCCAGUUCCACUGCUUUCCACGGCGGAGGAGGAACUGCCACAUGGGGACGGUAGAGGUCUGAGACUGGAGGGGUGUUUUAGCUGAGGUUUUCCCAUCAUAGCGAUUUGUCCCAGGUCCCACAAGCUGGAUCUAGAACCUAGAUCAACUGAUCCCCAGUGCCAAGCCCUCCUAGUAUCUAUUAGUGUCAACAAAAUUUCAUUUCUGUUGACCGCCCCUUCGGGUUCAGGCAGCGGUGACCAGAGGCGCUGGGCCGCCAGUGGUGCGUGUUGAUGCUCGACGGCUCAGUGCUGUGACGAGAGCUCAUGUCAUGCAGAUCAGCAAGGGGGCCAGCCUUUUCUUUUCCGCAGUGGCACGCUUGGCAGAGAAUUAGACAGACUGGGAUACAUUUGGAAGAGGAAGGUCAGAAUGGCCGAGCACUGAAGACCACGCUCUGAACAGAGGCAGCCCAGAGCUGGGACGCUGACCUGGAGAAGCCCAACGGGACUGGAGCGUUUCCUCUGACGACUCAGGCCCGUGUGAGGGAACCUGCCUCCUGCUACUGCAUGUUUGCUGGUUUCGAUUCCAUAUAAUUUGUAGUUCUCAUAUAAUUAAGUAUUAACUUUCAGCUCUCGAUGGCCGGGGCUACUUCCCUUGGCGGGGGAGGCGUGUGACCUGGAGAUGAGGUAAGCAUUCCUGGUCACCACACUUUUGCCAGCAUCUAACUGAUGUGCGUUCCCCAGCCUGAAAAUUUUGAAACAAAUGGAAAUAAAGAUUUGUGUAACGUUUUAUAACCUAUUUUUUCACUUUAAAAUGUAUUAUGAACAUUUUUCUGUCAUUAACUAUUCUUUUAAAAUAGGACUUUAAUCAUUGUGGUUGAUUUUGCUUAGGGGGUCUGAAGUUUUAAACUGGGUCUUUUGGGUCUUGACCUUGAGGGAGAUGAGAUUGUUCCCAUAGGGGCCUGAAAUAGUGAGGCCUCACCGAAGCUGGAGAGGAGUUGAGCCGAGGGAGAAGAGAGUGGGCUGUGGCCUAGAAAGCUGGUGCCGGGGUAUGGGCUGCACGCUUGUUGGCUGGGAGCCAGAGCUCUGUCCUUUGGGAGCUUCACUGUUCCAUCACUUAGGAACCUGGACAGGUAACAGAAUACCACGGAAAGUGCCUUAAAAAAAGCAGAGAUCUUUUUCACAACAGGUCUGAAUUGGGGAGUUGUCGGCAUUGGUUCAGCUGCUAAAUCUUGCUCUGGCAGCUCGGGCUGGGGUAUCCUUUCUCUCCCCUCUUCCUUGGUAGGUUGGCUUUUGUUCUCAUGGCCUCAUAAGUCUGCCCUGGCUCUUGGCAUCCAACCUUCAUUCAAGACAGGAAGAAACAGAAAAGGAGCAAUGCCAACUGGGUCUGUCUUUUUUUUUUUUGAGGAAGAUUAGCUCUGAGCUAACAUCUGCUGCCAAUCCUCCUCUUUUUGCUGAGGAAGACUGGCCCUGAGCUAACAUCCGUGCCCAUCUUCCUCUACUUUCUAUGUGGGACGCCUGCCACAGCCUGGCUUGAUGAGUGGUGCCAUGUCCGAACCCAGGAUCCUAACUGGUGAACCCUGGGUCACAGAAGCGGAAUGUGUGAACUUAACCGCUACGCCACCGGGCUGGCCCCUGGGUCUGUCUCUUUUUAUCAGAAAAGCAAAAGCUUUCUCAGAACCCCAUCCUCAUCCCCACCCCAGCAGUCUUCCACUUGGCCAAAACUGUCUCACACAACUGCCCCGAGAUGAAAGAGAGGCUGGGAAGUGAGUGUUGAGCAUUGCAACCUUUCUUGUAAAGGCAGACAAGGGAGAAAGGGGUGGGGCAGCGCUGGCCAAUGGAACUGGAAUGCGAGCCAUGUAUGUAAUUUGAAAUGUUCGAGUAGCCACAUUUUUUUAAAAAAAACCCAGGUGAAGUAAAUGUUUAAAAUAUGUUUUAUUUAAUGCAAUAUAUCCAAAAAUCACUUCAGCAUGUAGUCAAUAUAAAAAUUAUUAAUGAGAUAUUUUGGACUUUUUUUUUAUAUGAAGGCUUCGAAGCCUGAUGUCUAUUUGACACAGACAGCACAUCUCUCUUUGAACCAGUCACAUGUCAAGGGCUCAGUAGCCGCAUGUGACUAGUGACUAAUGUAUUAGACAGCACAGGUGGAGACUUGUUGAGUGAGCGAACCAACAGUGUCUUGCCAAAACUAUUUUGUAGCUACUGGUUUUUUCUGUAAUUGUUUUCCUUUUUCAUUCUUCCAGUUGAACUUAGAAAAUGCCACCUUGUCUCAGCCUGCUGAAGAGAAAGAAGUAAAGAGGAUUUGGGUUUGUGUUAUGACUAAAGUAAUAAAGACGGGGAACUGGAACCUUCUAGGGCCAGGCAAGGGGGGAGCAGUGGAAUUCAAACUUUGAGAACCUGGCAUGGCACUGUGGAUGGAUGAGAGGAAAGGGACGUGAGAGGUAGGCUGCUUGCUGUAGUGACAAAGAGUAAAGUUCUUGUCAAAAUCAAACUAUAUUUUUUUCUGAUUACAGAAGUAAAAAUGUUAUGAACUAUAAGGAAAACAAAAUUUCCAAAAAUAAAAGGUAUUAUAAUGCUAGAGAUAGUCCCUGCUAACAAUUUAUUUUAUUUUACUAAUUUUUGUCCUUAUGAAUACAUACAUUUGUUGUUGUUGUGAGUGGUGUCAAGUCAAUUCCAACUCCUAGUGACCCUGUGUAUAGCAGAACAGAGCCCUGCCCAGUCUUUUUUGGCCAUCCUCUCACUUGCCAGCGCUGUAUCAGGCAAUGCUCCACUGCUAUUCAUAGGGUUUUCAUGGCCAAUUUGUUCGGAAGUAAGUGGCCAGGUCCUUCUUCCUAGUCUGUCUCAGUCUGGAAACUCUGCUGAAACCUGUCCACCAUGGGUGACCCUGGUGGUAUGUGAAAUACCAGGGGCAUAGCUUUCAGCAUCAAAGGAACGCGCAGCCCCCACAGUAUGACAACCGACAAAUGGCUAGUGUGGUUCCCUGGCUGGGAAACAAACCUGGGCUGCAGCGGUGAGAGCGCCAAAUGGUAACCACUGGACCACAGGGCGGGCUGUAUACAGACAUACUUAGACACGUAUAUAUUUUGAAACAAAUUGAAAUAAAGAUUUGCGUAACAUUUUUUUCUUUUUUUAUUGAGUUAAAAUACACAUAACAUAAAAUUUAC